rnacentral:lncRNA from 1 species
GGGGAAGGUGGUGAUCCCUCCAACUUACCAACUAUGGAGGUCUGAUGUACCUUUAUUGCAGUUGUUCACUUCUGUUCUAUCUUCUGGAGGUCAGUAAAAUGGCCUUUAUGACCCUCUGUGGCUCUGCAGUGUGGAUCCAGGUACCAGCACAACCAGGAGGCCCCAGAGCAGGGGCGGGGAAUAGGCAGCCCUCACCAGUCUGCUCUGAUGAAGGCCAAGAAAGUCACUUCUAUGUACUUGAGUCUUCAUCUAGAGGAAACACCAAUGAAUGCUGGCUGCCCCAAAUGCCUUCUGGCCAGUCUGGCUACAUCAGGUGACCCACAGUCAGUCAGGGAGUCAUUUGCUUUGAAUGCAGCAAGCUUCCGUCUCAGUCAGAUCCUGGAUGACUCCUCCCUGCAGCCUCUGUGCAUGCCACACCCCUCCAAAGCUCUUUUCAGUCAGGUCAGUACGGAGCCCCUUCCCCACCAUGAGCAAAUAGGAAGUCUGCCAGUGAGUGAGCGAACUCUCCUUUUCCCUAUAUUAGCAACCUCCCAUUACUCUUAGCGGACUGGUCCAUGUACUGUACCACCUUAUGCUGUAGCAUAGGUUCUAAUAAAAUCUCUUUUGGACAGCAUACUUUUGCCUAUUCAUGAUUUCUAUCUUGAGUAGAGCAUA